rnacentral:rRNA from 1 species
GACGAACGCUGGCGGCGUGCCUAAUACAUGCAAGUAGAACGCACAGUUUAUACCGUAGCUUGCUACACCAUAGACUGUGAGUUGCGAACGGGUGAGUAACGCGUAGGUAACCUGCCUGGUAGCGGGGGAUAACUAUUGGAAACGAUAGCUAAUACCGCAUAAUAUUAAUUAUUGCAUGAUAAUUGAUUGAAAGAUGCAACUGCAUCACUACCAGAUGGACCUGCGUUGUAUUAGCUAGUAGGUGAGGUAACGGCUCACCUAGGCGACGAUACAUAGCCGACCUGAGAGGGUGAUCGGCCACACUGGGACUGAGACACGGCCCAGACUCCUACGGGAGGCAGCAGUAGGGAAUCUUCGGCAAUGGACGAAAGUCUGACCGAGCAACGCCGCGUGAGUGAAGAAGGUUUUCGGAUCGUAAAGCUCUGUUGUAAGAGAAGAACGGGUGUGAGAGUGGAAAGUUCACACUGCGACGGUAUCUUACCAGAAAGGGACGGCUAACUACGUG